UACGUAGGGGGCAAGCGUUGCCCGGAUUUAUUGGGCGUAAAGGGCGCGUAGGCGGCCACGCACGUCCGUUGUGAAAUCGCCCGGCUCAACUGGGCGGGGUCAGCGGAUACGGUGUGGCUAGAGCAAGCUAGGGGGCAAUGGAAUUCCCGGUGUAGUGGUGGAAUGCGUAGAUAUCGGGAGGAACACCAGUGGCGAAGGCGGUUGCCUGGAGCUUUGCUGACGCUGAUGCGCGAAAGCGUGGGGAGCGAUCCGG
rnacentral:rRNA from 1 species